AAUAAAUCAAUCUUUCACGUUUUACCUACGAUGUUUGACUCUUCGUUUUAUUUAAAAAACUUACAAUUAAUAUUUUAAUUUUUAUUAGAUGAUAAAUCAUAAAUAGUACUUUGUGUGUGACUAAAUUUUUUAUAAUUUUUUUAAAAAAAAUUAAAUAAAAUAGAUGGUCAAACGUUGAACAACCAAAGAAUUGGUU
rnacentral:pre_miRNA from 1 species